rnacentral:rRNA from 1 species
GAAAUUGAUCUCCCCGUGCAGAAGCGGGGAUAAUACCAUAAGACGAGAAGACCCUAUGGAGCUUUAGACGUCAGAGCAGCCCAUGUAAAGCACCCCUUAACAAAGGAAAAAACCAAAUGAAGCCUGCCCUAAUGUCUUUGGUUGGGGCGACCGCGGGGAAAUACAAAACCCCCAUGUGGAGUAGGAAUACACAUUCCUAAACCCAAGAGCUCCCGCUCUAAUGAACAGAAAUUCUGACCAAUAAGAUCCGGCACACGCCGAUCAACGGACCGAGUUACCCUAGGGAUAACAGCGCAAUCCCCUUAAAGAGCCCUUAUCGACAAGGGGGUUUACGACCUCGAUGUUGGAUCAGGACAUCCUAAUGGUGCAGCCGCUAUUAAGGGUUCGUUUGU